GAUGAACGCUGGCGGCGUGCCUAAUACAUGCAAGUCGAGCGAACGGACGAGAAGCUUGCUUUUCUGAUGUUAGCGGCGGACGGGUGAGUAACACGUGGAUAACCUACCUAUAAGACUGGGAUAACUUCGGGAAACCGGAGCUAAUACCGGAGAAUAUUUUGAACCGCAUGGUUCAAAGGUGAAAGACGGUCUUGCGGUCACUUAUAGAUGGAUCCGCGCUGCAUUAGCUAGUUGGUAAGGUAACGGCUUACCAAGGCAACGAUGCAUAGCCGACCUGAGAGGGUGAUCGGCCACACGGGAACUGAGACACGGUCCAGACUCCUACGGGAGGCAGCAGUAGGGAAUCUUCCGCAAUGGGCGAAAGCCUGACGGAGCAACGCCGCGUGAGUGAUGAAGGUCUUCGGAUCGUAAAACUCUGUUAUUAGGGAAGAACAUAUGUGUAAGUAACUGUGCACAUCUUGACGGUACCUAAUCAGAAAGCCACGGCUAACUACGUG
rnacentral:rRNA from 1 species